UACAACGUUGCUUUUGUGAUGCAACUCUGUGAUGUUUGAGUUGUGACACCAUGCUGGAGAACGCUGGAGCUGCGGUGCUGACAAAGCUGGAGGAUGCAACACUGACGACACCGAUAAAGAUGGAGGCCGCUGUGACAUUGGGAGGCGGCAUGGAGCUACAUCGCUACUAUAAUAUUGGAGAUGCACUGGUUGCUGAUAUUCGGAUGAGAGAGGAGAUGAAGGAUUGAAGAAGGAGAGGCGGCAG
rnacentral:lncRNA from 1 species